UACGUAGGUGGCAAGCGUUGUCCGGAAUUAUUGGGCGUAAAGCGCGCGCAGGCGGCCUCUUAAGUCUGAUGUGAAAGCCCCCCGGCUCAACCGGGGAGGGCCAUUGGAAACUGGGAGGCUUGAGUAUAGGAGAGAAGAGUGGAAUUCCACGUGUAGCGGUGAAAUGCGUAGAGAUGUGGAGGAACACCAGUGGCGAAGGCGACUCUUUGGCCUAUAACUGACGCUGAGGCGCGAAAAGCGUGGGGGAGCAAACAGG
rnacentral:rRNA from 1 species